rnacentral:lncRNA from 1 species
UGGGCAAUCAACACAGCCUUUCUGAAUGUUCACUUCCUCAACAGUAAAUGGAGGAGUUAGAUGACUCAUUCAUUCCAGAAAUAGUUUUGAGCAUUUGCUCUGCAUCAGACCCGGUGCCACGUACCAUGGGUGCAAAGGGGAGCAGCAUAGUAGAGACGGGGUUCCACCGUGUUAGCCAGGAUGGUCUCGAUUUCCUGACCUCGUCAUCCUCCCGCCUUGGCCUCCCAAAGUGCUGGGAUUACAGGCUUGAGCCACCGCGCCCCGCUCUUUCGUGUUCCAAAGGCUUUUUAAAUAAACUUCCACUCCUGUCCUGGAUUCUGCUUUAUGGCCCUCAGUCGAAUUCUUUCUUCUGAGGAGGCAAGGACUGAAGUUGCUUCUGACCAGUACAGGAGAAAACGAAUACAGCAGGGAUGACUUCCACCAGCUCCACUUUGCAGCUCUGAGGUGUAUUAAAAAUAAACCUAGAGCCCCACCAAAUGAAUCCGCUGGCACGUGGACCUCAGAUGGGGGAAACUGAGGACUGAAUUCUGACCACCCUCCUUUGUUCUAAAUUUCUUCCUGAAGGACCUGGAAGAAGUCAUGCCACGGGCCAGACCUUAACAUUCCUUUCGGCUUACCCCAGGAUUUCAGACAAAGCUUCACUUUCCUAACCAGUCACAAAUCAGAGAAUUUUUGAUUCCACCUAUGACCUGUGAGCUCCUGCUUCAAGAUAUUCCACCUUUUUUAGGCCAAACCAAUGUAUAACCUCCAAGUGUCGAUUUACACUUUCGACUGUAACUUCUGCUUUCCUGAGAUUUACCCCUGCCUUUAAAAACCCUUGCUUGUAAUCCCUCAGGGAGGCCGUGUAUUUAUUAAUCAUGAGCUGCCCAAUUCUCCUUGCUUGGUGCCCUGCAAAUAAACACCCUCUUUUCUCCCACUGCAAAACCUCAGUGUGGAUGUUUGGCUUUACUUCACCCCCAGGAAAGCAGACCCAGGUUUGACUCAGCA